ACGGGUGAGUAACGCGUGGGUAACCUGCCUUAUACAGGGGGAUAACAGUCAGAAAUGGCUGCUAAUACCGCAUAAGCGCACAGAGCUGCAUGGCUCAGUGUGAAAAACUCCGGUGGUAUAAGAUGGACCCGCGUUGGAUUAGCUAGUUGGUUGGGUAACGGCCCACCAAGGCGACGAUCCAUAGCCGGCCUGAGAGGGUGAACGGCCACAUUGGGACUGAGACACGGCCCAGACUCCUACGGGAGGCAGCAUG
rnacentral:rRNA from 1 species